rnacentral:lncRNA from 1 species
GCCUUUUAUGGGGAGUUAGAGGAAAUCGUAGAGUUGUCGUACAAGGGCACGUACGGGGGUCAUAUUCACUUGUUCAAGUGCCGUUGGUUUGAUUCAGAAAAAGGAAUACGUGUUGACAAACAUGGAAUCAUCGAUAUUGACCUCCGUAGGUCUGCGUUCUCCAACGAACCAUUUGUUUUACCAACUCAAACAGUACAAGUAUACUACACUCCUAGUCCUGUUAGGAAAAGGGAUAGACCGCCUACAGAUUGGAAAG